UUGACCUCGGAUCAGGUAGGAAUACCCGCUGAACUUAAGCAUAUCAAUAAGCGGAGGAAAAGAAAC
rnacentral:rRNA from 3 species